rnacentral:rRNA from 1 species
UAUUCCGGUUGAUCCUGCCGGAGGCCAUUGCUCUUGGGGUCCGAUUUAGCCAUGCUAGUCGCACGGGUUCAGACCCGUGGCAAAUAGCUCAGUAGCACGUGGCCAAUCUACCCUCCGGAUCAGCACACCCUCGGGAAACUGAGGCCAAUUCUGUAUACGGCUCCCGACCUGGAAUGGUGGGAGCCAGAAACGCUCCGGCGCCGGAGGAUGAGGCUGCGGCCGAUUAGGUUGACGGUGGGGUAAUGGCCCACCGUGCCGAUAAUCGGUCUGGGUCAUGAGAGUGAGAACCCAGAGACGGACUCUGAGACAAGAUUCCGGGCCCUACGGGGCGCAGCAGGCGCGAAACCUUUACACUGCACGCCAGUGCGAUAAGGGGACCCCAAGUGCGCAGGCAUAGUGCCUGCGCUUUUCUGGACUGUAGGGCGGUCCAGGAACAAGGGCUGGGCAAGACCGGUGCCAGCCGCCGCGGUAACACCGGCAGCCCAAGUGAUGGCCGCUGUUAUUGGGCCUAAAGCGUCCGUAGCU